rnacentral:rRNA from 1 species
GACGAAUGCUGGCGGCGUGCCUAAUACAUGCAAGUCGAGCGGAUGGAAGGAAGCUUGCUUCCUAAAGUCAGCGGCGGACGGGUGAGUAACACGUGGGCAACCUGCCCCUAAGAUCGGGAUAACUUCGGGAAACCGGAGCUAAUACCGGAUAUGAUUAUGUCUCACAUGAGACAUAAUGGAAAGACGGUUUCGGCUGUCACUUAGGGAUGGGCCCGCGGCGCAUUAGCUAGUUGGUGAGGUAACGGCUCACCAAGGCGACGAUGCGUAGCCGACCUGAGGGGGGGAUCGGCCACAAAGGGACUGAGACACGGCCCAGAAUCCUACGGGAGGCAGCAGUAGGGAAUCUUCCGCAAUGGACGGAAGUCUGACGGAGCAACGCCGCGUGAGUGAAGAAGGUUUUCGGAUCGUAAAACUCUGUUGUUAGGGAAGAACAAGUACCAUAGUAACUGAUGGUACCUUGACGGUACCUAACCAGAAAGCCACGGCUAACUACGUGCCAGCCGCCGCAGUAA